UACAGAGGUCUCGAGCGUUAGGCGGAAUCACUGGGCUUAAAGCGUGUGUAGGUGGAUCGUUAAGUACCUUGUGAAAUCCCACGGCUUAACCGUGGAACUGCUUGGUAUACUGGCGGUCUUGAGCCAGCUAGGGGCUACCGGAACAAAUGGUGGAGCGGUGAAAUGCGUAGAUAUCAUGUGGAACACCAGUGGCGAAGGCGAGUCUCUGGACAACUUCUGACACUGAGGCAACGAAAGCUAGGGGAGCAAACAGG
rnacentral:rRNA from 1 species